AUCCCAGCCUCACGUUAUUUGUUCGUUUGAUUCAUGGGAGGCCAAAAGAAUCCUGGAAGUUUCGCUGGCAACAUCCGUAUUGCUGGGCGCAAUCCGAUAGUAGCAUUUCAUACAUUC
rfam:Physcomitrella patens subsp. patens PHYPAscaffold_221 genomic scaffold, whole genome shotgun sequence.